GACGAACGCUGGCGGCGUGCUUAACACAUGCAAGUCGAACGGAAAGGCCCUGCUUUUGUGGGGUGCUCGAGUGGCGAACGGGUGAGUAACACGUGAGUAACCUGCCCUUGACUUUGGGAUAACUUCAGGAAACUGGGGCUAAUACCGGAUAGGAGCUCCUGCUGCAUGGUGGGGGUGGAAAAUUUUCGGCGGUUGGGGAUGGACUGGCGGCUUAUCAGCUUGUUGGUGGGGUAGUGGCUUACCAAGGCUUUGACGGGUAGCCGGCCUGAGAGGGUGACCGGCCACAUUGGGACUGAGAUACGGCCCAGACUCCUACGGGAGGCAGCAGUGGGGAAUAUUGCACAAUGGGCGGAAGCCUGAUGCAGCAACGCCGCGUGCGGGAUGACGGCCUUCGGGUUGUAAACCGCUUUCGCCUGUGACGAAGCGUGAGUGACGGUAAUGGGUAAAGAAGCACCGGCUAACUACGUG
rnacentral:rRNA from 1 species